rnacentral:lncRNA from 1 species
GGUCUCUGAACUCUGCUCUGCACUGCCCCCACCCAAGGGUCAGAAGCCGAAAUGGGGGCAAGUCCUUUCCGGUGUCUGACUCACACCCUCCUUGCUGCCCCACGGCCCUGCGGCCCGGCCCCUACCUCCUCAUACAGUCGCCGCAGGAAGUCGAUCUCCUGGACCGGGGCCUCCGCGUUGGUCUCCAGGUCUGAUUUGUGCAGCGCAUCUUGUGGCCCAAACUGAAAGACGGAGGUUAUGAUUCUAGCUCACCACCUGAACGAACUUGUCCCAACCCGGCUUCCCGUCCCCACCUUCAUCAUCUCAGCAAGUGCAGAGUGCACGGGCCUCGCUUGACUCACC